UCUGGUUGAUCCUGCCAGUAGUCAUAUGCUUGUCUCAAAGAUUAAGCCAUGCAUGUCUAAGUACAAACCUUAAUACGGUGAAACCGCGAAUGGCUCAUUAAAUCAGCUAUGGUUCCUUAGAUCGUCUCAUCCUACUCGGAUAACUGUGGAAAAUCUAGAGCUAAUACGUGCUUACAAGCCCUGACCUCACGGGAGGGGCGCAUUUAUUAGAUCAAAACCAAUCGGGGCUUGCCCCGUCUGCUUGGUGACUCUGGAUAACUUUUGUGCUGAUCGCAUGGCCUCUGCGCUGGCGACGUAUCUUUCAAGUGUCUGCCCUAUCAACUUACGAUGGUAGGUGAUAUGCCUACCAUGGUUAUAACGGGUAACGGGGAAUCAGGGUUCGAUUCCGGAGAGGGAGCCUGAGAAACGGCUACCACAUCUAAGGAAGGCAGCAGGCGCGCAAAUUACCCACUCCCGGCACGGGGAGGUAGUGACGAAAAAUAACGAUACGGGACUCUUUUGAGGCCCCGUAAUUGGAAUGAGUACACUUUAAAUCCGUUAACAAGUAUCUAUUGGAGGGCAAGUCUGGUGCCAGCAGCCGCGGUAAUUCCAGCUCCAAUAGCGUAUAUUAAUGUUGCUGCAGUUAAAAAGCUCGUAGUUGGAUCUGAGGACUCGAAUUGGUGGUGCACCAUACGGUGUUACUGCCGAUUCGGCCUACCUAGUCGGUGCUCGCUCUUGGUGUUCUUAAUUGAAUGCCCUGAGUGCCCGGCAAGUUUACUUUGAAAAAAUUAGAGUGCUCAAAGCAGGCCAUUAGCCGGAAUACUUCAGCAUGGAAUAAUGGAAUAGGACUUCGGUUCUAUUUUGUUGGUUUUCGGAACCCGAGGUAAUGAUUAAGAGAGACAGACGGGGGCAUUCGUACUGCGGUGUUAGAGGUGAAAUUCUUGGAUCGCCGCAAGACGAACAACUGCGAAAGCAUUUGCCAAGAAUGUUUUCAUUAAUCAAGAACGAAAGUCAGAGGUUCGAAGACGAUCAGAUACCGUCCUAGUUCUGACCAUAAACGAUGCCAACUGGCGAUCCGAGAUCGUUUGCUUAUUGACCUCUCGGGCAGCCUCCGGGAAACCAAAGUUUUUAGGUUCCGGGGGAAGUAUGGUUGCAAAGCUGGAAACUGUUCAAUUGCAACUCUGCCUGUGACACCAAGUGGUCGGGUUACUUGGUCUGUUCUGGCCCGGAGUCGGUAGGGUUUCCGGCCUUGUGCUCUUUCCUUACUGUUCUCUGUAACGCCGAAGGCGGGGCUUCCACGGUGGGGAAGCGGUUGUACAAAUCCGGCAAAUCCAGCCAAAUGGGUUCCGGACUCUGUCCAACCUGCAACUGGUAACAGCCUCGGCUGGCUAACAUUUGAGCUGGGACUCGCUUGGGAGGAGCGAGGAUAAUAUAAACCUCUAUGUGACUGAGGUGAGGAAUCUGGUUCUCGUAAAAUGGCUGGAGAUCCCGAGCCUGUAAGUCAUAAAUUAGUUCCCCCACGAGGGAGGUGUCGAAUUGAAGCCAGUGCGUGCCCUUACUAGUUUAAGGGAUUGUAUACUUCCUUUGGUGUACCCACCUGGAAGUGCCCAAGGGGUCCUAUCCCUGCACUCCAUCCCCGAUUGGAGUCAGGUGACGGCUCCUUACCUCACCAGACGCGGCCGGACCCCGGAAGGGGUCUGGGCCCCCGAAGCCUGACGGCGUCGGGGUGCAGGAAGCCUCUAGGCGACCAGCCCAGCCGUGCAGAAAUGCAGUAGGCCUUUAUCUGG
rnacentral:rRNA from 1 species